rnacentral:rRNA from 1 species
UACGAAGGGGGCUAGCGUUGCUCGGAAUCACUGGGCGUAAAGCGCACGUAGGCGGAUCGUUAAGUCGGAGGUGAAAUCCUGGAGCUCAACUCCAGAACUGCCUUCGAUACUGGCGAUCUUGGAGUCCGGGAGAGGUGAGUGGAACUCCGAGUGUAGAGGUGAAAUUCGUAGAUAUUCGGAAGAACACCAGUGGCGAAGGCGGCUCACUGGCCCCGGUACUGGACGCUGAG